UAGUCCACGCCGUAAACGAUGUCUACUUGGAGGUUGGUGCCUUGAGCACUGGCUUUCGGAGCUAACGCGUUAAGUAGACCGCCUGGGGAGUACGGUCGCAAGAUUAAAACUCAAAUGAAUUGACGGGGGCCCGCACAAGCGGUGGAGCAUGUGGUUUAAUUCGAUGCAACGCGAAGAACCUUACCUACUCUUGACAUCCAGAGAAUCCUUUAGAGAUAGAGGAGUGUCUUCGGGAGCUCUGAGACAGGUGCUGCAUGGCUGUCGUCAGCUCGUGUUGUGAAAUGUUGGGUUAAGUCCCGCAACGAGCGCAACCCUUAUCCUUGUUUGCCAGCACUUCGGGUGGGAACUCCAGGGAGACUGCCGGUGAUAAACCGGAGGAAGGUGGGGACGACGUCAAGUCAUCAUGGCCCUUACGAGUAGGGCUACACACGUGCUACAAUGGCGUAUAUAGAGGGCUGCCAACCUGCGAAGGUGAGCGAAUCCCAGAAAGUACGUCGUAGUCCGGAUUGG
rnacentral:rRNA from 1 species